rnacentral:rRNA from 1 species
CAGCAGCCGCGGGAAUACGUAGGGUGCAAGCGUUAAUCGGAAUUACUGGGCGUAAAGCGUGCGUAGGCGGCUUCUUAAGUCGGAUGUGAAAUCCCUGAGCUUAACUUAGGAAUUGCAUUCGAUACUGGGAAGCUAGAGUAUGGGAGAGGAUGGUAGAAUUCCAGGUGUAGCGGUGAAAUGCGUAGAGAUCUGGAGGAAUACCGAUGGCGAAGGCAGCCAUCUGGCCUAAUACUGACGCUGAGGUACGAAAGCAUGGGGAGCAAACAGGAUUAGAUACCCCGGUAGUCCCUGUCUCUUAUAA